rnacentral:rRNA from 1 species
UACGUAGGGUGCGAGCGUUGUCCGGAAUUAUUGGGCGUAAAGAGCUCGUAGGCGGUUUGUCGCGUCGGCCGUGAAAGCUUGGGGCUUAACCCCAAGCCUGCGGUCGAUACGGGCAGACUUGAGUUCGGCAGGGGAGACUGGAAUUCCUGGUGUAGCGGUGAAAUGCGCAGAUAUCAGGAGGAACACCGGUGGCGAAGGCGGGUCUCUGGGCCGAUACUGACGCUGAGGAGCGAAAGCGUGGGGAGCGAACAGG